GAUUCUUCCCAAUUCUACCGCCACCAUUCUGGUUCAAGCUACCUGUAGAGACGGGGUUUCACCAUGUUAGCCAGGAUGGUCUCGAUCUUCUGACCUCGUGAUCCAUCUGCCUCAGCCUUCCAAAGUUCUGGGAUUACAGACGUGAGCCACCACGCCCGGCCAAAAGAUCCAUAAACUUUGAGUCACCAGAUGGAGCUAACAUUUACCACAGAGAGAUAAGGUCCUCUGGCUGGACUCAAACUCCUGGGCUCAAGCAAUCCUCCCACCUCAUCCUACAGAGUAGCUGGGCCUAUAGGUAAAACAUGCACAGAGCAAAUUUCGGUUGUAUCCUAGAAAUGAUAGCCAUAUUCAGGAUACUGGUUACACCUGACGAAACAUCUCCAUGAAAGUUAAGCAUACACAGGAUCUCACUUUGUUACCCAGGCUAGAUAGAGUGCAAUGGUGUGACCACAGCUCACUGAAGCCUCAACCUCCUGAGCUCACUUUUAAGCAAUCCUCUCACUUCGGCCUCCUGAGUAGCUGGGCCUACAGGCAUGUACCAACACUCCCAGCAAGUUUUUCUUAUUUUUUGUGAAGACAGAGUCUUGCAGUAUUGCCCAAGCUGGACUUGAACUCCUGGCCUCAAGCAAUCCUCCCAUCUAGGCCUCCCAAAGUGCUAGGAUUACAGGCAUGAGCCACUGUGCCAAGCAACACUUGCAGUUUUUAAGUGAAAAUGAUCCUGUAAAUAUACAUAUGAAUAAAAU
rnacentral:antisense_RNA from 1 species